UCAAACUUGGUCAUUUAGAGGAAGUAAAAGUCGUAACAAGGUCUCCGUUGGUGAACCAGCGGAGGGAUCAUUAACGAGUUUAUUCAACUCCUAAACCCAUGUGAACUUACCUACGUUGCCUCGGCAGGACGGGUCCUACCCGGAGCGCCCCUACCCUGUAGGAGCGUACCCGGUAGCCGCCUACCCUGCCGGCGGCCCAUCAAACUCUGUUAAUUAUUUGACAUUCUGAAUCGUAUACAAAAUACGUUAAAACUUUCAACAACGGAUCUCUUGGUUCUGGCAUCGAUGAAGAACGCAGC
rnacentral:misc_RNA from 1 species